UGCGCUUGCAGAUCCCAUUCAUUAUUUAUUUAGAAGAGCAAUUGCAUAUUUCAAUACCGCGUCUCUUAUAUCAUGCUGGGGAUGACAACUUGGCUUAAGUGGUGUGAGGGAUAGGUUUGGCAUUUUUGGCACCGUUACUAGAUUUAGAGAACUUACUCUACUUUUGGUAAUGAUGUUAAGAAUACCCAACAAGCAUUUUUGGCGCCGUUGCCGGGGAAGGUUGAUUACUAAUCAGGAAUGGAAUAAAAGAUUUUGAGUUAUCAUUCGCAUCACUAAUAUGAUUGAGCUUAUCUAUUCUCUCAUACAGUUUUACCCUGAUAUUUUUCUAUUUUAUCUUAUGCAGGGGAAUGUAUGAAUAGAAGACAUCUUCCAGGAAACUUUGUUGACAAUCCCGAAGCAUUAUUCAAGAAGACGAGAGCCAAGCUCAAGAAGAGAUCAUCAACACUUCAGCAAGAAGCUUCAUCCAAUCAAGAAGAUCACCAGAACUUGUCUUCAGAGUUCGAAGCCAUGGCAAACAAAUCAAUCCGCGAGUUCUCAGCUCCCACUACAGACAACAUCCGCACUGGACCUGCUGCAGAGAUCGAUGGCAACUUUGAGCUCAAGCCUGGACUUAUCAACAUGGUGCAAUCCAACCAGUUCUGUGGGAAGGCACACGAGGAUGCUAGUGCUCAUUUACAACACUUCCUGGAGAUUUGCAACACAUUCACCAUAGCAGGAGUUUCCAAAGAUGCUAUACUACUUCGCCUCUUCCCAUUCUCACUGUUAGGGAGAGCGAAGCAGUGGUUCUACGCUACAAAGGAGAAGAAUACUACGUGGGCACUCUGCUCAACAAACUUCCUGGCAAAAUUCUUUCCCAUGGGCAAGACCAAUGCACUCAGUGGGAAGAUUACAAGUUUUCAGCAACAAAAUGAUGAAUCUGUUCCAGAAGCAUGGGAGCGCUUUCAAGACUACAUCCUAGAAUGUCCCCAUCAUGGAAUGGAGAGUUGGAUAUUGAUGCAGACAUUUUAUCAUGGGCUCGGCAACAGUGCCCGAGAGACCAUGGAUGCUGCAGCUGGAGGAGCAUUCUUAUCACUUACUAUACCACAAGCCACAGCUCUUGUGGAGAAGAUGGUGUCCAAUCAAAGCUGGAAUGAAGAGAGGACCCAGACACGCAAGAGAGGUGGAGGUAUGCAUCAGCUCAAGGAGGUAGACAUGCUGUCUGCAAAGCUAGACCUGCUCAUGAAGAAGCUCGAUGAUAGAGCUGGAGACAAGAAAGAAGUUAUGCACAUCUACGACUCUCACAUGACUUGUGAGGAGUGUGGAGACACCGGACACUCAGGCAAUCACUGCCCUGAGAUGCUUGAGGAUGUGAACUACAUCAACAACAACAACUACUACUACAACCGUCCUCAACAAAAUCAAGGUUGGAAUCAACAAAGGCCUAACUACUCAGGUAAUUAUCAAGGUAACAAUUCUUACGACAAUAAUAAUAAUUUUCCACCUCUAAGAGAGUUAGUGUCUAAUCAAGGAAAGCUAAUGGAUAACCUGUCUAAGAAAUUGGCAUCUAAUGAUAAAGUGCUAGAAAAUAUAAAUAAUAGAAUGGAUAAUUUCUCUACUGCCAUCAAGAAUCAAAUUAGCUUUAAUAAAAUGAUUGAAUCUCAAUUAAAUCAAAUAGCUGCUGCUGUUCCUACUACUAACCCCGGUAUACCAUCACAACCGGAAGGAUUAGAAUCUGCAAAUCUUGUAGACAUGUUUGAUGCAGGUAAUAAUUGGAGUAACCCCGUCACUGAAUUCUCUACUGACAUUCUGCUGGUCAAGAGAGGCGAUCCAGGACGCCCCGUCAUCCCGAUCUUCAUCGGCAUGGUGGAUGUUCCAGAAGCACUCUGUGACUUUGGCUCCAGUGUCAACAUUAUACCCAGGGUACUCUAUGAAAAAAUCUUUACAUAUCCUUUAUUAGAAACAACCAUGUGUUUGCAGUUUGCAGAUCAGAUGAUAACUUUUCCAAAGGGAAUAUUGAAGAACCUUUGUGUCCGAGUUGGUACCUUAUAUGCUCUAGCAGACUUCGUAGUGGUAGAGACCGGAAAUGAUGAGAGAGCACCUAUCAUCUUAGGGAGGCCAUUCUUGAAUACCACGGGAGCUAUCAUCUACGCUAGUGCUGCCAAAAUCAGUUUCUACGUCAAAGGGAAGAAGGAGACAUUUUUCUUCAAGAACAAGAUUACACAAAUUCCAAAUUAAUCCAGACGUGAAUCAAGGAAGAGGACCAACAGGAGGAACAGGAACAAGCAAGUGUGGACCGAGUCAGCUAAGAUGGUCACUGUAAUUCAUGGAGGCCAAGAUCACCAACUUAAGUCACCGUUUUUGACCAAGAAGGACGACCCAGGAAUGCCAAGCAUCUACUGCUCCAUAAAUGGAUACAACUUCUACAAGGCAACUUGUGACACCGGACCGGGCGUCAACAUAAUGGCCGCAGUCACCUAUCGGCUCUUGUUCGGAACCAUGCCACUAAGACCAACAUAUAUUCAGCUCCAGAUGGCAGAUCAGACAUUUUGAGAAGUUAAAGGAACAGUAACUGAUGUCCCAGUCAAAAUAGACGAUCAUUUUGUCUACACAGACUUUCAGGUUAUUGACAUGGGAGAAGAUGAGUAUGAUCCACCCAUCAUCCUUGGAAGACCGUUCCUCAGUACCGUUAAAGCAAUUAUCUACAUUGGAACCGGAGAAGUCCAUAUGCACUUCCCCUCAGAGAAGGUACGCCGUUAUUUUACUGACCCUAACUAUAUCAUUGAAGAAUCUAAGCAGGUAAGGAAAAGACGCAACCGUAACCAGAGGAGGCAGAUCAUCAAGGACGGAUGGGCAGACUACGAAGGAGAAGUGAUAAGGUCAGAAGACGUAGAGUUUAAACAGAAUUAUCCAGAGGAGACUGAAGCACCGAGUCAGGUAUGGAAAAUGAAGAUAACUAUACAUGAAGAGGAGGCGCCGCCGGAAGUACCGACUACGCCACCCAACGAACCUCAGGACAAUUGAAAAAAAAUAGAGAGUCCCGUUCGGAGGACUUAAAAACACCGAACGCCUUGCCAAGAGGUAAACUUGGUAGUUAUCCUUUCCCUUUCAAUUAUUUUUAAAUAGUUUAUUUAGUUAAUCAUAUUCAUACUAUCCUAAAAAGAAAAUAAAAAUGUGAAAAACAGUAAGCCCCAUGUGAGUAUAUGAGUGGCAUAAAACCCAUAAGUACAUUCACUGUGGUGGCAUAAAAAUAGAAUAAAUAUUUUUCUGCUUUAUAAAAUAAAAAUAUAAAAACAGGGAGUAAUAAUUAUUAAGGAGUCUCAACAUGAUAAAGGCUAGAUAUUUAUGCUAACACUUAAUCAGUUCCACAAGCUUUGUUGUCUAUUUGAACUCCACAGAAUUUAAGAAUCAAGAAGACUAGCAGACGGAGGACAUUCUAAUCGCUGUCAGAAUGCUGCUGACUUUCAAAUAAACCUCUGCCACCUGCUAGCUACAUCAAGAGAAAUUACGUCAAAAUUCAGCUUGGGGGAGAGCAACCCCAUUUAUCUCGAUAAGUAUUUCUAUCUAUCUUUAUACUUAUAUUAUAUUAGAAUAUUAAAAUACAUAAACUAUGAAAAACCAAAUAAAGAUUUUAAGCUUAUAUAUAUCCUUUGCUUAGUGUGUUUAAUAAAUAAAUAAAGUGGCUAUGCUAAUCUGUAUCUAAAUAAAACUUAAGCAUGGAUAUGAUGAAUAGUUGCUCUGCAUAAUUUGAACAUUUUAAGUUCUCUCUCAAGUUUAGAUAUAACUGUUAUAAUUUAAAGCUUGCUCUAGACCUAAACUUGUGGGAUGAAAACUUGAUCUGAAGUCUAAGUUGUUAACGGAUACGAUAUGGGAAGGUUGAGCUGCUAUUUAUCUGUUCCUAGAGAUGCUAGAAUUCUGGAGAAUUUUAUCUUUGAAAAUCUUUAAAAUGUUGCAUGAUGAGUUCCUGUAUGAUGAGAGUUUAAAUUCCUACCACAGCCAUAUAUACAUGCUUGCUAGACUUUGAGCCACACAUUUACUAUUUACUGCUUAUGAGCAUUGAGUGUGGUCAAGCUGUGUAGACCCUUAGGAGCUUGUCAUGUGGUUAAAUCAAGAUUUCACUUGCACGUUCACUCAUAUAUGCUACUUCUACUCCGGAAGUACCAUCCACAUAUAUCCAUCCAUUUCCAUCUCCAGAACCACCUAAAAAUAUUCUACUCCUAAUCCGGGAGAGAAUAGCCAAAAAUAUUUUUUUCCCUUGUGAAAUAAAUGCUCAAGUUAUCUUGUUACUAUCACUUGCUAUAUUAUCUCAUGAGAUGAGUGCUCUAAAAAAAGAAAAAAACGAGGAAAUAAAAAGGAGCAAGUGCUCGGAACCUCGAAAGAAAAGAAAAAGUGAGACGAGAGGUAAAAAUGGACAAGUGUCCGACAGUAGAAUUAGGGGUACAAGAUACUCACCUGAGAGAAAAGAAAAAGAAGAGCAUCUCAUUCUCCUCAUAAAAUUUCAAAAAGCAAGGAAGGUAUGUAUCCCCUCAAAGAGCAAAGUAGAAUUAGACUUUCACCAUUGUUACCACCGUCAUCACCAUACACCAUUCAUUCGCCACACAUGCACAUCUUGAUUAAACUUAUUGGCUUGUUUCUUUAGAUCCAUGGUUUGACUAUGCAAUAAAUGUCUUGUAAGUAUGUAUAUUUUAUCUCCCACCUAUGAGCUCCAGAUAUUAAAGCCUUAUUAGAGUAGGGUGAGAGAGAAGGCAAUGUCACUAUGCUUUGUACCACAAAUACUACAUAUAUUGAGAGAAGGCAUAUACCAUUACUGCCUUAGUAAGGAUCCAGAAAUACCACAAAAGAGAGAUCUGAGAGAAUCAUACAAGGAAUCUCUGAGUUUUAUUUGAAAAUCUGCAAAAACCCCAGAGCUAUAGCUGAUCAAGAAUAAGAGACAUGGCACUUCGCUAGACUGUUCUAUCUUUUAACUACUCAAGACAGAAGUGACGGUUACAAGUCCCAUGGUGGAAGGUAAAGUAAUUAAGUUUUAAGUCUUGACAGUUUACUCUAACUCAAAGAUGAGAUCUUAUUUAAAAAGCAUGUGUACCGUCAAAUUUUAAAAAUAUUACAACAACUUAUGAUCCAUAGCUGAGUCUAUCCUUGCUCAGGGACGAGCAAGAGGUAAGCUUGGGGGAGUUUGUUGACGGUCCUUAAGUAUCAAAUUUAAUUAUCAAAUAAAUAAAGAAAAGGAUCCAAAUGAAAUCAACAUCUAGACUUAGGGUUUUAUCUGACAGAAUUCCACGAGUUUUAGUGUUUGUCUAUUUCUGCAGGGGUUAUCAGGAAAUACGGAAGAAAGGUCCACACGUCGGGAUUACAUAGAGAUAUUAACGUGCCGCGCAAUUAUCUUACAUCUAGAAGACUCCAGAAGCCACGAGACCGAAGCGGAGGCGAAACGGGGCCAGAGGCAGGGCGCCCGCCUUGUUCUCCUGGGCGCCCGCCCCCUCCCUGAGUCCAAUCAGGACUCUGCUUCGCGGGAGAUCUCCACCGACCUAAAGGAUGAAUCUAAACCAUACAAUCUAUGUCGGUUUGAUCCAAUGGCCCAUAUUCACUUGAAGGAACUAUAAAACCAGACCCCCUGGCCCCUGGAGGAGGGAGCCUCUCAACCCUAAUUCAUUGUUCUUCAAGGGAGAAGAAGCCUCUGAUCAAGAUUAGAGCCACCACAUCAAUUAGAUAUCUAGAUUAGCAUAGCUACAUAGGAUUAGAACUAGAAGGAGUCAAUCUUCGAUUGGUUUCCGGAUCUGUCAAGAGGAUUCUUGGUAAUUCUCUAAUUGUGCUUCUAAUUACUUUCUAAUUAUCUUUGUUCUUCAAUAUUAUGAAUAUGACUUUGUUCUACUUCAAUAUAUUGCUUAUGACUUUGCUCUAUUUGCUUAUAUUCAAGAUUAUAUUGUUCUUAGUUUAUCAUAGUUAUGUACUUGGCUUAGUUAGAUUUGAUCUAUAUACAUGCUUAGGAUCGUAUAGCGUUUAUACAUCGGAUCCAUGGGUAAAUGAUAGAUAUUGUGUAGGCGUGGUGCUUAUACCGUAUUUAUCUGCGAUUGUACCCAAUAUGCCAGAUCGUGGGGUGGUUCGUGAUAGUGACAGCUUCAUUGAUUCUUAUAUAGUCCCCCUCUCGUGUAUUGGGCUGGCAGAGCAACAUUAUUACAGGGGAGUGAUUGCUAUGUUUCUCAUAUUCCUUGCUAAUAUCACUAUGCAUGGGCGUAGUCUUGUCUCACAAUGAUUGCUAAGUAUGCUUGCACUAACUAUGAUAAUGCUAGACUAUAUAGUUGAGAAUAACUUAGGGAAUAUUCUUGUAGUUCGUUCUAAUACCAUGCUAAUGACUUUCUAGAGUAUCUAAUUGAGGUGCUUAUCAUAUUUAUUAUGUGGCUAGAUCAGAUUAGUUAUCCUUGUCACUAUUAUUAUUUCAUAUAUCUUUUAUGUGACACUUAUCCCUGUAUGAAGAGUUAGAUAUAAUGUUCUCAAUUAUACAUGCAAUGAUAGAUGCUCAAUCUCAUAUUCUAUUCUGUAUUCAAUAUUGAUGAUUGCUAAUCCCUUCCCAGUGGUAAAAAUAUAAAUAACGAUACCUGGAAUACUUCCCGGUUAAAAUGCUGCAUCAGUAUUAAUCUGUGCGCUUGCAGAUCCCAUUCAUUAUUUAUUUAGAAGAGCAAUUGCAUAUUUCAAUACCGCGUCUCUUAUAUCAUGCUGGGGAUGACAACUUGGCUUAAGUGGUGUGAGGGAUAGGUUUGGCAUUUUUGGCACCGUUACUAGAUUUAGAGAACUUACUCUACUUUUGGUAAUGAUGUUAAGAAUAUCCAACACAUAUGUGGCGAGUGAAUGGUGUAUGGUGAUAACAAUGGUGAAAGUCUAAUUCUACUUUUGCUCUUUUUAAGGGAUACAUACCUUUCUUGCACUUUGAAGCUUUUUGAGGAGAAUGAGAUGCUCUAUAUUUUUUUUCUCUCAGGUGGGUAUCUUGUACCUCUAAUUCUACUGUCGGACACUUGUCCAUAUUUACCUCUCGUUUCAUUUUUUCUUUUCUUCGAGGUUCCGGGCACUUGCCCCUUUUUAUUUCCUCGUAUUUUUUUUCUCUUUUUUUUAGAGAGCACUCAUCUCCUGAAAUAAUAUAGCAAUUGGUAGUAACCAAGAUAACUCGAGCAUUUAUUUCAUAGGAAAAAACAGAAAUGUUUUUGCCUAUUCUCUCCCAGAUUAGGAGUAGAAUACUUUUAGGUGAAUCUAGAGAUGGAAUCGAGUGGAUGUAUGUGGAUGCGUACUUCCAGAGUAGGAGCAGCAUGUAUGAGUGAACGUGCAAGUGAAUCUUGAUUUUAACCGCAUGACAAGCUCCUAAGGGUCUACACAGCUUGACCACACUCAAUGCUCAUAAGCAGUAAGAAGUAAAUAUGUGGCUCAAAGUCUAAUAAGUAUGUAUGUAUGGCUGUGGUAGGAAUUUAAACUCUCAUCAUACAGGAACUCAUCUAAAGAUUUUCAAAGAUAAAAUUCUCUAGAAUUCUAGCAUCUCUAGGAACAGAUAAAUAGCAGCUCAAUCUUCCCAUAUCAUAUCCGUUAACGACUUAGACUUUUGAUUAGCUACACUUCCCACAAGUUUAGGUUUAGAGCAAGCUUUAAAUUAUAACAGUUAUGCCUAAACUUGAGAGAGAGCUCAACUUGAAAACUAGGUACAUGGCAAAGCAACUAUUUAUCAUUUCCAUGUGAGAGCUUAUCAUGAGGGUUGAUAGCAAACUUUAUUUAUUUAUUUAUUUAUUUAUUUAGCAAACUAAGCAAACAACACAAAAUCUUUAUUUGGGUUUUUAUGAUUAUACAUCUUUUUAUUAUUUGAGUAAAGUAUAAAUGUGAGUAGAACACUUAGCUGGAUAAAUGGGGGUGCUCUUCCCCAAGCUGGAUUUUGACAUAAUUUCUUUUGAUAUAGCUAGCAGGUGACGGAGGUGUAUUUGAAUGUUGGCGGCACCCUGACAGCGAUUACUAAGUCCUCCGUCUGCUAGUCUUCUUUUAUCCUUGAAUUCUGUGGAGCUCAAAUAGACAACAAAGCUUUGUGGAACUGGUUAAGUGUUAGCAUAAAUAUCUUUUCUUUAUCAUGUUGAGUCUCCUCAAUAAAUGUUACUCUCUUUGGUUGGAUCACAAUCUUAUUUUCAUUUUUAUAGCACAGGAAUAUAUUUAUUUUAUUUUUAUGCCACCACAGUGAAUGUACUUAUGGGUUUUAUGCCAUGAGCAUACUCACAUGGGGCUUACUAUUUUUAACAUUUUUAUUUUCUUUUCAAGAUAGCAUGAACCUGAUUAACUAAACAAUCUAUUUUAAAUAAUUGAAGGGAAAAAGAUAACUACCAAGUUUACCUCUUCGCAAGGCGUUCGGUGUUUUUAAGUCCUCCGAACGGGACUCUCCGUUUUCUCAGUCGUCCUAGGAUUCUCUGGAUGGCGUAGUCGGUGAUUCUGAUGGCGCCUCCUCUUUGUGUAUAACUAUCUUCUCUUUCUGAUUCGGUGCUACGGUCUCCUCAUGACAAUCCUGUUCAAGAUGUAUAUCUUUGGACCUUAUUACAUCUUCUUUGUAGUCUGCCCAUCCGUCCUUGAUGAUUUGCCUCCUUUGGUUUUGGUUGCGUCGCCUUCUUCUCAUCCUGAUCUGCUUAGAAUCUUCAACUAUAUAGUUAGGGUCAGUAAAAUAGCGGCGUACCUUCUUAGAGGGGAAGUGCAUGUGGACUUCUCUAGUUCCAAUAUAGAUGAUAACUUUGAUAGUGUUGAGGAACGGUCUUCCAAGGAUGAUGGGUUAAUCGUACUCGUCUUCUCCCAUGUCAAUGACCUGAAAAUCAUCUGGAGCUGAAUGUAUGUUGGUUGUAGGGGCAUGGUUCCAUGCAGGAGCUGAUAAGUGACUGCGGCCAUUAUGUUGACGUCAGAUCCAGUGUCGUAGAGUGUCUUCUGAAAAGAGUAUCCGUUGAUUGUGCACUCGAUGCUUGGAACACCAGGGUCGUCCUUCUUGAUCAGGAAGGGCGACUUGAGUCGACGAUCUUGACCUCUUCCGGCAAGGAUCCAAUGUUCUAAGUCUUCUAGACAAGACUUCUCACUGUGUUCAUCCUUUAGGUGCAUCAUUUGAUUAGGUGUGGGUCUUGACAUCUGCACCUCUUGAUACAAUGUCACCCAUGUUCUUCGGUUGUCCAGUAGUUCGACAUGUGGCAUUGGCAGCAUCGUGCUCAGUGUGUUUGUGCUCGUAGAUCCAAGUCCUUCACUUAGUGGAAUCUGGGACUUGUAAAACUCCUUUAGGUUUUGCUCGAAGUGUACCUGCUCAUAGAGACAAGGCAGAGAUCAAGUGCAUGGGUCCUGUUGGUGGAAAACACCAACAGAACCAAAAGUAUGUUUAUUCUUCUCUAUCCUUAAGCAUAGGGAGCAAGACAAAGUUGAUGGGUGAUAAUUUCAUGAGUGUAGCAUUUAAAACAUUUGUCAGAUCAGAUCGCUCAACCUUAUGGAAAGAUAAUCUAUCUAUGUAUAUGUCUUUUUCUUUAUAUCUUCCCAAAGAUUGAAUGUGCAACAUUUUAGCUCAUAUGAUUAGGAGUGUAGGAUCAUGGAGGUAGUACUAGGAACAAAGAUUAAAGGACUAAACAUGCUGAAUCAAUUGGGUUGGUUAAUUUGGAGUUAUAAAUCAUACAUGUUUGUCUCUUUAUUCAUGUGAACGCCAGAACCAAGGAGAAGCUUAUAAAAGUGAUAGUUA
rnacentral:lncRNA from 1 species